UACGUAGGGAGCAAGCGUUGUCCGGAAUCAUUGGGCGUAAAGAGCGUGUAGGCGGCCUGGUAAGUCCGCUGUGAAAGUCCAGGGCUCAACCCUGGAAUGCCGGUGGAAACUGUCAGGCUCGAGUCCGGAAGAGGCGAGUGGAAUUCCUGGUGUAGCGGUGAAAUGCGUAGAGAUGCGGAGGAACACCGAUGGCGAAGGCAGCCCCCUGGGCCAACACUGACGCUCAGGCACGAAAGCGUGGGGAGCAAACAGG
rnacentral:rRNA from 1 species